CAGAGAAAAAUCCUCCAAGCGCAUCUCAACCUCCAGCGCAUCGCCACCCGCUGCCGCGAGCCGCUGCCCGCCGGCCCCAGCCCCGCCACAGGCUACAGCGCGCCGCCACCGCCUACCCCGCCGGCACUCCUACCCCUACCCCAAGUGCCUCCCACGCUCGCUACGUUCUACCGCCGGCGACACUCGACGCCGCGGCCGUUGCCGGCUCCCACACCCGCGGGCCUUUAUCUCCCCGGCGGCCGCCGCCGCCGCCCUGCUCGUCCAGCGGGCUGGCCCUGUCCAUGGGGCGUAGGGGCUACCCGCGCCCUUCGACGCCCGCACGCGCCUCCUUCUGCCCUUCCGCCGCGGACGAUGCCGACUUCUCUGAGUCUAAUGCGAUCCUGGUGGUGGCCACGCCCUGCGAGAGUCUGCUGCUGCUCAGCCCAGCGUCUUGCCGUGGCGGGCGCCUGUCGUCGGAGCUCUGGUUGUCGGUUCCAGAGUCGGGUGGUUCCACACAGGGGCGCAUAUCCCGUUGUGCCACCAAUCACUUAAUUCGGCUCUCUUGAGCUGCCCGGCUUCGGCGGCGAAGAUGAUGGCGAUGCCUAGGACAUAACGGCCACAUGGGAUGAAACUAGCAGAGAUGAAGAAGGCGGUGGUCGUUGGGAGGAGAAGAUUGCCCGGAAGCUGGAGGACGUGCACCAGCUGCGGUUGCUGGACAACCGCUACGUUUAGUGGCUGAGGGAAUUGUUGGGCUACGAGAAUCAGUCGCUGAUAAGAGGGCUGAGGCUGAGAAGAUCAAGAGGGAUCAGAGAUUGUGCUCAAUUGUUGGUGGUCAGGACGUCAGUUUGCAGGAGUUAUCUGAAGAAAGGACUCACUAUCUGGUUAAAUGUUCCAUUGGAUGCCCUUGCAAGAAGGAUUGCUGUGGUGGUUCAGCGUCAUUGCCCCUCCUGCAUCAACAAUCUGGUGAUCCAUAUGCAAAGGUUCAGAAGAGCUAUUUUGUGUACAUGAGUUGCUACUGGCAGUGGACAGAUUGUCUAUGCAGAGUGCGUAGAGAAAAAAAUGCUCACACACAAACACAAACGACAUCCAGUAGGCGCUUGGAACACCCGACAGAUUGAAAGCACAGAAGCAAAGAUUUCCAAUACGAGGCCACGAUGCCCGACAGAGAUGUAGCCAAUAUGUGCCCAAUCCUUAUUUCUUGAUGUUGGAACAACAAGUAAGAGCAUGUUCAUGUUUACUUAUUAUGUUUUUUGAGAAAUUUAUGGGAUUUACAAGCUGAAAUUAUUGACUGCUUCAAAAUAUGUUUUAACCAAAACUGUUUGCACGAUAUUUCCCUGGUUCUGCAUUCAUGGAAUUGCUAAAAAAAUGAACAAGUUCAGUGAUAGUUUUGUUCCUAUUAAUAUUUCGUCCAAGGUGCCAGUUUGUUUCUUAAGUUUUUCUUUUAACUUCAAAAUUCAGAGGAAGUCAAUGUUUGUUUUAUAGUUCAAACCAAUCACUGGUAAGAUCUAUUCCAAAACGAUAUUGUCUCUUGAUGCGAGGUUACCAAAAUAUAUUCUUCAUCAUGGCCAAAGAUAAAUUUAAUUCCGGGUUAAAAACUUUAGAAUAACUGUGUUUAUAGAUUUUCUAGCUAAGGGUUGCUUUUGUUUAGCUGGAACUCAAAUCA